rnacentral:misc_RNA from 1 species
CACACAACAUUUAACUUAAUAAAUCAAAGUCGUCUUUUCGUGCCAUUUCAACAUUGACAUAACAACAUUAAAAAUUAAAAUAAACACAAAAUGAUGCGAGUGCACCGAAAAAAAGUUUACCCAACGCGAGAAUCGGAAUUACCGAGAAUUUUAAGAGUUAGAAUGAAAGGAUUAAGAGCAAUAAUCGGAACUAACGACGCGUACAACUUAUCCUUUGAAUUAACCACCUUAGAGUACGUUAUGUUGAUUAUUAUGUACGAGUGCGGUAUGAACAGUUUAAUAACGUACCUUGAUUUAGUUGUUAAACACGGACCAUUUUACAUCGGUGGUGCAUACAUCUUCAUAAUGGUAACAUUAACGAUGCCUAUUUAUAUGUUAUUAACAUUUUUGGGGAGUUACUCAAAAAAGAGUUACAUAAAACUAUUCACUUGCGCCCCCAUUUUCGAAGGGCUUGGCUACAUGGUGGGAAGUGUUAAAUUAAUGGGGGAAUUAUUUAACAGUUCGAUGGCGGCGACGGCUUUACUCACGUUUUAUCACUGCUUGGCGGGGCAAUUUAAGGCGAAUUUUUGCGAGGGGCUCAUUUUGAAAAACGGGAACGAUUUGAGAUGUUUAUCGAAAUAUCCGAGAUUCUUGUAUCACAUUCCUUGUCAAAAAGAGGCCGAUACGAGAUUUUUAACAACAACGCAAUAUUAUUUCAUAAAACUUUUGAACCACUCCUACGAUGAAACCACCCCCCCAAAAUUAAACAACAACCUCGUCGUUUCUUCCUUUUUAAUUUGGACCCUAAUUUUCGCAAUGGCUUUGGGGGGAAUUAAACGUUUAAAAACGUUGACGACUAAUCUGCAAUUCGUGUGUGGUUUUGUCGUGAUUUUAACGGUUUUGGUGGCGAUUUCGCACGCUCAUCCGCGAUUUGAGAUUAGGGCGAGAUCUUUUGGGGAAAUAUCUUGCUUGUUUUCUUUCGAGGUGAGUAUUAUUUCGGUUGUUGAUAAUUUUUAAUGUUUUCUUCGUCAGUUUUGGUCGGAUUUGUUCGUGUAUGCCGUUCAACCAACUGGGUUUGGAAAUAUAAUUUGGUUGGCUACCAUCAAACCAAAAUCGAUUGAUCCGAAAUUUGCCAUCAUUUUAACUUCGUUAAUCAAAAUUGUUCUGUUUUCUUUGUUAACUUGUAUCAGCUCUUUGAUAUGUCAAGAUAUCUUGUAUCAUCUAAAAAUCGUCGAUCAAGCUUGUUUAUUCGUCACAGGUUUUGAUAUAAUCUUCGCUUUCGUCCCAGACGUUUUAUUCCAAAGCGGAGUUCGCCGCUUGAUAGUUCCAACGUGGUA